GAAGAGUACCGAGAGGGAAAGGUGAAAAGCACCCCUGGCGGGGAGUGAAAGAGACCUGAACCCGUGUGCCUACAAGCGAUCGGAGCAUGGCCGGCAUUUUCGGAUGCUGGGGUAUGUGACGGUAUGCCUUUUGUAAAAUGAGCCGGCGAGUUAUUGUGCGUAGCGAGGUUAAGGACUGCGAGGUCUGUAGCCGCAGGGAAACCGAGUCUGAAUAGGGCGCAAGUUUCGUACAAUGGACCCGAAGCCCGACGAUCUAUCCAUGUCCAGGUUGAAGCCCCGGUGAAGCGGGGUGGAGGACCGAACCGAAGCCUGUUGAAAAAGUCUCGGAUGAGGUGUGGAUAGGAGUGAAAAGCUAAUCGAGUUGGGUGAUAGCUGGUUCUCCCCGAAAUGCAUUUAGGUGCAGCCCUGAAUGUUUAGUGAUGGGGGUAGAGCGCUGAAUGGACGCGGGCGGUUGUGACCGUACCAAAUCCAAUCAAACUGCGAAUACCAUUACUUAAGAGUUCAGGAGUGAGACUGCGGGAGAGAAGUUUCGUAGUCGAGAGGGAAAGAGCCCAGACCCACAGCUAAGGUCCCAAAGACAUGCUGAGUGUGGCAAGGAUGUGACGAUGCCUGGACAGCCAGGAGGUUGGCUUAGAAGCAGCCACCCUUUAAAGAGUGCGUAAUAGCUCACUGGUCGAGGAUUGUUGCGCCGAAAAUACAGGGGGCUAAGCAUGUCACCGAAGCUUGGGGAUUGGAUUUGAGUCCGAAUCGGUAGGGGAGCGUUCCAUGUAGGGAGAAGUCAAACCGGCGAGGUUUGGUGGACAGCAUGGAAGUGAGAAUGCCGGCAUGAGUAACGCGAAGUGUGUGAGAAUCACACUCACCGGAAGUCCAAGGGUUCCUGGGGAAGGUUGAUCCGCCCAGGGUAAGGCGGGGCCUAAGGUAAGGCCGAGAGGCGUAGCUGAUGGACAACAGGUUGCUAAUCCUGUCCCGCGAAGCGGUUGAUUGACGAUGGAGUGACGCAGGAAGCUAGGUGCGUCGGCGGAUGGAAUAGCCGGUCUAAGGGCGAAGCCUGGAUGGGGAGGCAAAUCCCCCUGUUUAUAGGUGAGACCUGAUGGGGAGUUUUCAGAGAUGGAGACGAAGGCAUUGACGCUCUACUGCCGGGAAAAGCUUCUAAGGAGACUGCUCGCGCCCGUACCCGAAACCGACACAGGUGGACUGGCUGAGAAGGCUAAGGUGAGCGGGAGAACUAUCGUUAAGGAACUCUGCAAGUUGACCCCGUAACCUAGGGAGAAGGGGUGCCAUGAGGGUGAAGAAGGACAUUUGGAGCCCGAAGUGGUCGCAGAAACCAGGCACAGGCGACUGUUUACUAAAAACACAGGACUCUGCAUAAGGCGUAAGCCGAAGUAUAGGGUCUGACACCUGCCCGGUGCUGGAAGGUUAACUGGAGGGGUUAGUGCCGCGAGGUGCGAAGCUCUGAAAUGAAGCCCCAGUAAACGGCGGCCGUAACUAUAACGGUCCUAAGGUAGCGAAAUUCCUUGUCGGGUAAGUUCCGACCUGCACGAAAGGUGUAACGAUCUGUGCGCUGUCUCGACGGUAGACCCGGUGAAAUUGUGGUCCUGGUAAAGACGCCAGGUACCCGUGGUGGGACGGAAAGACCCCAUGGAGCUUUACUGUAACUUGGUAUUGGAUUUUGUCCUAUGAUGCACAGGAUAGGUGGGAGGCAUCGAUUCAGUCAUUUUGGUGAUUGAUGAGCCGUUGUUGGGAUACCACCCUUUAUAUGAUGAAAUUCUAACCCUUAGGCGUUGAAGCACGCGGGGGGACAUUGCCAGGCGGGCAGUUUGACUGGGGCGGUCGCCUCCCAAAGAGUAACGGAGGCGCGCAAAGGUCACCUCAGGGCGAAUGGAAACCGCCCUAAGAGAGCGUAAGCGUAUAAGGUGGCUUGACUGCGAGACUGACGAGUCGAGCAGGGACGAAAGUCGGUGCUAGUGAUCCGGUGGUUCCGAAUGGAAGGGCCAUCGCUCAACGGAUAAAAGCUACCCUGGGGAUAACAGGCUGAUCUCGCCCGAGAGUUCCUAUCGACGGCGUGGUUUGGCACCUCGAUGUCGGCUCAUCGCAUCCUGGGGCUGAAGCAGGUCCCAAGGGUUGGUCUGUUCGCCCAUUAAAGCGGUACGUGAGCUGGGUUUAGAACGUCGUGAGACAGUUCGGUCCCUAUCCACCAUGGGCGU
rnacentral:rRNA from 1 species